rnacentral:rRNA from 1 species
UACGUAGGGGGCAAGCGUUGUCCGGAUUUAUUGGGCGUAAAGAGCGUGUAGGCGGCUUGGAAGGUCAGCUGUGAAAACUCGAGGCUCAACCUCGAGACGUCGGUUGAAACCACCUGGCUAGAGUCCGGAAGAGGAGAGUGGAAUUCCCGGUGUAGCGGUGAAAUGCGCAGAUAUCGGGAAGAACACCCGUGGCGAAGGCGGCGACCUGGGCCAAUACUGACGCUGAGGUGCGAAAGCGUGGGGAGCAAACAGG